rnacentral:rRNA from 1 species
UACGAAGGGGGCUAGCGUUGCUCGGAAUCACUGGGCGUAAAGGGUGCGUAGGCGGCGCGGUAAGUCGGGUGUGAAAUCUUGGAGCUUAACUCCGAAACUGCAUUCGAUACUGCCGUGCUUGAGGACUGGAGAGGAGACUGGAAUUUACGGUGUAGCGGUGAAAUGCGUAGAUAUCGUAAGGAAGACCAGUGGCGAAGGCGGGUCUCUGGGCAGUUCCUGACGCUGAGGCACGAAGGCCAGGGGAGCAAACGGG